rnacentral:rRNA from 1 species
UACGGAGGGAGCUAGCGUUGUUCGGAAUUACUGGGCGUAAAGCGCGCGUAGGCGGCUUUGUAAGUUAGAGGUGAAAGCCCGGGGCUCAACCCCGGAACUGCCUUUAAGACUGCAUCGCUUGAAUCCGGGAGAGGUGAGUGGAAUUCCGAGUGUAGAGGUGAAAUUCGUAGAUAUCGAGAGGAACACCUGCGGCGAAGGCGGGUUGCUGGGCUGACACUGACGCUGAUGCGCGAAAGCCAGGGGAGCGAACGGG